AGGUCCGUAGCUCAGCUGGUAGAGCGGCCCCCACGCCGGGGGAGGGUCAGGGGUUCAAGUCCCCUCGGAUCGC
rnacentral:tRNA from 1 species